rnacentral:lncRNA from 1 species
UGACUUUGUGACAUUGUCAACUAGUGUGAAAGACUUGAAGAGUUCUAGGAAUGAGUACUAGAAAAAUGCCUUUAUUUAAGGAGACUAGUAAACAAGGAAGGAACACAUUUACCAUUGAAGAUGUUCCCAGAUGCUGUCUUUUGGUGAUGUCACUUAGCAUAUGACCAACCCAAAUAUGAC